GACGAACCGUGCGAACGUUAUUCGGAAUCACUGGGCUUAAAGCGCGUGUAGGCGGAUGGGAACGUCGGUAGUUGAAAGCCCCCGGCUCAACCGGGGAAGUGGUGCCGAAACGACCCGUCUGGAGGGACGUAGGGGGACCUGGAACUUCCGGUGGAGCGGUGAAAUGCGUUGAGAUCGGACGGAACACCAACGGCGAAAGCAAGGUCCUGGACUCGUACUGACGCUGAGGCGCGAAAGCCAGGGGAGCGAACGGG
rnacentral:rRNA from 1 species